rnacentral:rRNA from 1 species
AGAACGAACGCUGGCGGCAUGCCUAAUACAUGCAAGUCGAACGAACACUUCGGUGUUAGUGGCGCACGGGUGCGUAACGCGUGGGAAUCUGCCCUUGGGUUCGGAAUAACAGUUGGAAACAACUGCUAAUACCGGAUGAUAUCGAAAGAUCAAAGAUUUAUCGCCCAGGGAUGAGCCCGCGUAGGAUUAGCUAGUUGGUGAGGUAAAGGCUCACCAAGGCGACGAUCCUUAGCUGGUCUGAGAGGAUGAUCAGCCACACUGGGACUGAGACACGGCCCAGACUCCUACGGGAGGCAGCAGUAGGGAAUAUUGGACAAUGGGCGCAAGCCUGAUCCAGCAAUGCCGCGUGAGUGAUGAAGGCCUUAGGGUUGUAAAGCUCUUUACCCGAGAUGAUAAUGACAGUAUCGGAGAAUAAGCCCCGGCUAACUCCGUGCCAGCAGCCCGAC